CUAGGGUUGCUGUAAAACGCAGACUGCAGACUGCAGACUGCAGACUACGGAAUGGGGACUUUGGCGGUUUCAUGCGCACAUUCUUCUAGACAUACCUUCACGUGCUGAUGUUUCCAGCCUUGCCUCAUGACAUCGUCAUGUUCAGUGAAACAGCACGGCUGAGUCUAUUCGAAGCUGCUUCUAUCUCCAUCUGUGCGAGCACCGACGGUUGGAAGCACGAGUUGAAGAAUGGACGAUAGGGCAGUCUACUUGAAAGAAAGGCGGUGACUUGUUGUCUCUGUCAUAUUUAUCUUUGUGCUUCCGUCUUCGGUCUUUAGAUGCUAGGAGCUAGAGCAGGUACUUGCUUUCGACCAACGUAUGUUGCAGCCCACCGCAGUCGACUAGAGGAGAUAUAUGUAUGGAUUCAGAUAGCUAGGCUCUUUAUGCAGUAUCAGACAAUGAAGCUGCGUUGCCAGGACAGUGAGAAGAUCACGGAACUUGCUGACAAGGUGAAAAGUUCUUUUGCCUUGGAGACGAUCACAUCCAUCUGAGGGCCAGGAGUUGAUUUCAUACAACUUGUAGCUCAUCUGGGCAAUACAGCUAGGCAGCAAGAUCAAAAUUAAGUGGGUGUGGAAUGUUUAAACUCAUAUGAUAUCUAGCUUGGAUUGAUGAACAGAGGGAACACUGAGAUUCUCCAUAAAAAGAAAGCCACCCGUUAACAUUUAUCCAUUGCUUGCAUUCAACAAAAAACAAGAACUUCAAUCUUCAAGAUGUUGAAAUAUCAGAGGAAGAUCGUAAACGAUUUCUUGCAAGCCACAAAGAGCUCCUUAAAGUUAUCUUGGGUGUUGACAUGUAGCUUAAUAAAAAAACUGCUAAAAGAUUUAGUUAGAAAAAUAUUUUGUUUUCAAUUGUUGGGGAGACUCAUUAAUCAUAGGAUCAUUUUAGCGUAAACAAACAGCUAAGAACAGUUCAGGACAUGCUACAAUACAAUCUUAUCAAUUUUUUCUUGCUGUUAUCAAAAGAACUGUUUAUAUAAUAAGUGCUAACCUAAUUAAUUAAUACC